rnacentral:rRNA from 1 species
UAAUUGGAAUGAGUAGAAUUUAAAUCCCUUUUCGAGUAUCAAUUGGAGGGCAAGUCUGGUGCCAGCAGCCGCGGUAAUUCCAGCUCCAAUAGUGUAUAUUAAAGUUGCUGCGGUUAAAAUGCUCGUAGUUUAACAUCUGCCGAGGGCGACUGGUCCACCCGCGGGGUGAGUAUAUUGUUUGGUCUUGGCAUAAUUUUGAAGCGUGCCACUGUACUUGGCUGUACCGUGUGUGCGAAUCUUGCAAAAUACUUUGAGGAAAUUAGAGUGUUUCCAGCAUGCAUAUGCACUGAACACAUUAGCAUGGAAUAUUGAAUUCGGAUCGCCGCUGUAUUCAAUUGGUUUUUAACGCUGCGGUAAUGACUGGUAGGAAUAAUUGGUGGCAUUCGUAUUCAAUAGUCAGAGGUGAAAUUCUUGGAUUUAUUAAAGACGAGCUGCUGCGAAAGCAUUUGCCAAUUAUGUUUUCAUUGAUCAAGAACUAAAGUUAGGGGAUCGAAGACGAUCAGAUACCGUCCUAGUCCUAACAUUAAACAAUGCCGACUAGGAAUUGAAG